CGACACACUAGCCAGGCGUGAUGGUAAAUGUCAAUCCUGCGGUCUGGGUUAUUUAUACCCACAAUGCUCUGGGAAGUGAAACUUCUUCAGAGCCCAGUUGUUGAGGGUUUAGUUUCAGACUCAGGCCACAGAGACGGGCUCCGGGCUCAACCUGAAAGACUAUGAAAUAAGCAAAGGGGAUGUGGGAAGGAGGGAGAGGAGCAGCUCAGAGCCAUUGCUCGUGCAGGACAGUCAUCUGAAAACACAAUAAGAACCAAAUGGAGACUUCUGGGCUGACUCAGGCACUUGAAAGAGGACAGGCGUUGCGUCAUCAGUGCCUUCCUGGGUCUUAGCUUCCGACACCCUCCGACACCAGAUUCCUAUGGUGAAGAUUCUCAAGACUGGGAUUGCAGAUUGGGAACCAGAAGGGGCCUUUGAAGCGCUCUGGGUGGCUUUUCUAAUGAACUCACUUCCAAUGUAUUCAGUUGACUCAUCUGCUAACAAAGCGAGGCUCCCAAUGGCACUCAAGAUUUAGAACGCUGGUUCAGAGCAGAACUGAGCAGUAAAUCAACACAGAGGAAUCACAGCUGCCUGCCUGGGGAGAACACUUUCACUCCACUUCCUCCCAAAGGGGUUUGGGUCUUGACCCCCUCCAGACACUCAUGACUCCAGCACAGGAAAUCUGGGCAAAGUUCUCUGGAGCCAGAGAGAGUGGACUCCACUUCAGUGAAACUUCCCAUCUGCAUCAUUGGCUACAUUUCCAACUAUUCUCUUUUAGAAGCUGCUAAAAGGAUUGUAGACUUCAGGCGGGAAGGGAUCUUAGAGGACAUCAUGUCUCAUCCCCUGAUUUUAUAGAGGGGGAAACUGAGGCAUGAAGAAAUUGAUCACACAGCAAGUCGGUGUCAGAGAUGGGAUUUGAACCCAAGUUUUGCUGACUUCAAAUCCAGUGCCCUAACCACCAUGCCACACAAGUCUCAGUCACUCCUUCGACCAUCCUCAUUACCUCCAGGGACCAGUUUGUGGCUGUGCAUAUAACUUUUAUUUUCCUUCCGUUGUAGUGUAUAUUUAAGAGUUGAGAACUGGAGUAUAGUGAGCAGAAUUAUUCGGUCAUUCAUUUUCCUGGACACAUACCCUAUUACUGACUCAUCGCCUAGAUUUUGUUUAGCUGUUUUAGUAACGUCUGACUCUUUGUGGCUCCGUUUGGAAGUUUUCUUGGCAAAGACACUAUAAUGAUUUCCAUUUUCUUCUCUAAGUCAUUUGAUAGAUGAGGAAACUAAAACAAACAGAGUUGAAUGACUUGCCCAAGGUUACACAGUUAAUAACUAUCUGAGACUAGAUUUGAACUCAGGUCUUCCUGAUUCCAAGUCCCAUGCUUUAUCCACUGUGUCAUCCACUCAGCUCCCCUAUGGACAGAUAGAUAUCCAAAAUAAAUGAACUAACUAAAAAACAAAAACCCCAAACCAAACCUUUCUUUGUUCUCGGAAGCAGUAACAAAACACUUUAUAAUUAUUUCAGCUUUUUAGCUCCAAGUCCAAACCAGAAAUAUCAUUCUGUGACUCUAGGCAAGACACUUAACCUCACACUAUCUCAAUAUCACCCAAAGUAAAAUAGGGAUAAUAAAAGCAUCUACCUUCCAGGGCUUUUAUGAGGAUCAAAGGAGAAUAUUUGUAAUGCAUUUAACAUAACACCUGGCACAUCAGGCUGGUUGUUGUUCAGUUGUGUCAGAUUCUUUGCAACCCCAUUUGGGGGUUUUGUUGUCAAUUGGUUCUAAGGCAGAAGGGCAGUAAGGGCUAGGCAAUGGGGGUUAUGUGAUUUGCCCAGAGUCACACAGCGAGGAAGUGUCUGAGGCCAGAUUUAAACCUAGAACCUCCUGUC